rnacentral:rRNA from 1 species
UACGAAGGGGGCGAGCGUUGUUCGGAAUCACUGGGCGUAAAGGGCGCGUAGGCGGCCCUCCUUGUCGCGUGUGAAAGCCCCGGGCUCAACCUGGGAACGGCGCGCGAGACGGGGGGGCUGGAGUUCGGGAGAGGAGCGUGGAAUUCCCAGUGUAGAGGUGAAAUUCGUAGAUAUUGGGAAGAACACCAGUGGCGAAGGCGGCGCUCUGGACCGAGACUGACGCUGAGGCGCGAAAGCGUGGGGAGCAAACAGG